ACAAAGAGUGUUUAAACCACUCUUUGCCUUGCUUCUGCUUCUAGACAGAAGAUUAAUGAUACCGGCAGACCUAGGAAACAUCGUGAACUAGAUAAAGUUGAUGUUUAGUGCCCUUUGUAUCAUCAUUACUCCACCACAUCUCUACUUUCUGUCACUCUUUCCAUCCCUAACUGAUUCCUCAACCUCACCAUCUCCCUCUCAAAUCUUCAGAACUACAGCAGUAAAUAUUAACUCACAUCUACCAGGUCAAUUCACAGUGGAUGUGCACCACCUACCAGUUCAUUCCACACGUGUUGAGAGUCUUUGAGAAUGAAAUGGUGAAAACUUAAACAACAGCAGAAUAUGAUCGUGCUCAGACCAAUAAUGGAGUAAUUUUUGCAAGGAAAGAUUCAUUCCUUGAUUAGAAAAAAAUGCCAUCUUUGAGUUAAAAGUGGCCACUCCCCAGAGGUCAGAAGUUUCUCUUCUACAAGAAGAGGCAAUGUUGCAUCAUACAACCACGGGUGAAAUUUGAACUUGGAUCCUCAAUCACAAAAGGAGAGGAAGGCAUAUUAAAAAUGUUAGCCUAGCGUUGCCAGUUCUAUUGGAUACUAGAAUCCUCAUCUGCCCCUCCAGAUGGACGCUCUAUUUUAGAGAAGCACAUGGACUGGAAGGAAUAAUGGAAUUGACUGGAGGAACCAGUGAGAUGGAUCUGAGAGAAAACCAACCUGUAAUGCACCAAGCAGACUGCAGGGCAUUAUCUCAAAGCUUCACACAUCUGUAAGAAAAGACCAGGGAAACCCAAACGUACUACAGUUACAUUAAGAGAACAUCCCUUCCUCUCCUGGGUUAAUCUCAAGAGUUUUCAUCCAUUGCAAGAAGCAUAUUUUGGGAAAGCCUGAAUGAGAAGAUAAUGUUUCUGGAACACCUAAAACGUGUACAGUGCAGAUAUCUGAAGGAAGAUUGUUCCAGGCAGUGGGAACAGCAGCAUCAGCAAAGGCUCUGAGAUGGAAGCAUGGCUGGCAUUUCAAGGAAGGCUUUGGCUAUAGAACAGAAUGAUAGAGGGACAGUAAAAGGUUGGAAGAUGAAGAGGAACCAUGAAGAAAAGAAGCAUUCCAUGAAAGCGGAAAAAAAAUCAAGGGAAUGAGAUGCUCUGGAAGCCCAUUGAAAAGAUCCUGUUUUCUGUACCUGCCUCUAGCAUGACUCCAUCAAAGGUUCUCCAGCACCGUAUGAAGACAUGAUAGUCAGGUCAAAACCCAUUAUACUGAUGUCCUCUCCCAUGGAAUACAGAAGAAAACCCAAAUCUGGAGUCAGUUCUGGGUGCAAAUCAUCUGCUGAUACUUAUCAGAUGAAACAACAUCUUUGAGAGAUGUACUCUUCAGGAUGGGUCUGUCCAAAUGCUAGAAGAUGAGAAUUCUCAACUGUGAUAUAACAGAAGAUAAACUUCCUUACUCAUUAAAGCGAGCAAAACUCACUCUCCCUGAUUUCUGUGAGUUGUAUAUUAAUGUGGUCUACAGUAGCCUGACUGUGGUAGUAGCCUGAAGAUUUGAGGGCUGUUUAUAUGAUGAAGUUCAAAUAAUUCUCUAUAUAUGUCAACAUUUUGUGUUUCAAAUGAAAAAUUACUAUAGGAAAUUGAUAAGAAAUGAUGAAAUUUUAAAGUACUAAAUAGUUAAUCAAUUAUGUAACCUCAAAUAUCUAUUAUUGUCCAAAAGGAAAUAAUUGGCACGUGCCCUAGUUCCUUGGAAUCCCCAUGGGUAACACAAAGACUUGCCAGAGUGAGAGUUCAAAAACGCUUACAUUGGCUGGGACCUAAGAAGGAAUUUCUAGGUAAGGCAAUAAUGCUUUGGAAAAGAAGUCCUAAACAUCAAAUUCAAGGAGCAGAGCAAGAGUGGGUGCCAAAGGGAAAAGUCAGCAAUUUAGAGCAGUUCUGUCCUGAUCAUCAUCAGGUUGGGAGGAAAAGCUUGCAUUGGUGUUUUAAGGCCCCAGAUUUGACUAUCAAACAUUUUUUUGACAGUCUAGCCAACCAGGGAUAUAGCUCCCAAGGGCCUUUAGCUGAUACUGACUCAAGUCACGCAUUUCCUCAGCUACAUGGUACGGGGAAAGGGGAAAUGACAAGAGUCACAGGCAUGAUUUCUGAGGGUCUUUCUAAUGCCUCUCAAAUGGAUUCUGCUGCAUAUUCUCAUAAGCCAACGUGAAGAAGAGUCUGUGUGUACAGGAAACACAUAACCCUCCACCUAUAUUACAAGGCAGGUUCCAGAAACAAAAAGAAUCUACUUAGGCUUGGAAUCCUCUGCCUCAGAUGACUCAGGCAGAACUAGUCCAUGGUAACAUGAUACAUAUCAUCAUAAAAGUAGGCUUCAGUUAAGACAUAACAAGUUAUAUCUCUUUAGUACAAUAAUUUCAGAGUUAAUAAUUUGCAAAGUAUAGAAACAAAGUCAUGUUCUUCAAAUAAUACUGGACUAUGUGGUUCAAGUAGAAAAUAAUAUUCAUUCUGUUGAGUUGUGCUGGCUUAUGGGUAACUUAGGAGGAAGCCUACAAUCUUUACCUUUGGUGAAUUGAACUACAAUAAAGGCAUCCACCACCUUGCUGCCAUUGUUAGGACCAGAAUCCCCUACCCACAUUUCAGGACCAGCAAAACAUGAGUAAAGGAGAGCUAUCAUUAGCUUUCCAAGGCAUGAAGUUUUACAACACUGGAGGACAGGCCAAGGGCCAGGACUGCUUUCUCAUAUUGGGAUGUCUGGAGUUCCAUGAGGGAGAGGAUUGGAGGCACCAGGUAUUGGGAACUUUAAGAUAGACGAAAGGAGGUAGACUGUGGGAAGUGAACAAAAAGAAAAAGUGAAAGUUAGGUGGCACCCACUUACAAAAGAACUGCUCAACCUCUGACAGAGUUCAGCGUGCAGUUCUGAGAGGUUGGGGAAAUUCCUCGGAGAGUUUCCUCUCCCUGAUUACCAGGCUGAGGAGGUAUUGACAACCCCACCGUGAACCACUCAGUGAAGACAGACGCAAACAGGCAGACAACUCCUCUAGCACAAGAUUCUUAAAGAUAAUUUUCUGUAAAUUUUCUCCCUCCCAGGACAGCGGUGGAUACUGGUUUCAGAAUAACAUAUAGAGUCCUUUACCACACUUGAGUGUAUCUAUUUGUAGAUUCUUCUGCCUGGGCAAAGCAGACAUUAGGGCAGGCUUUUUGCAUGUUUCUCUUAAGUAAUACAGCUUUUGCCAAGGCAAUGUAGACCUGAAAUAGCAAUUUGGCACAUGUCAGGAUGAGCACAUGUGUGGGGCUUAGGAAAGAGAAGGCAGAACUAGGUUUCCUAACAUCUAGUACUCAAAUGCGACAACCCCUUUAGGAGAGAGAUUAGAUUUUCUACGUGGAAGUGUGAUUUGAGCCUUUUUAGCUCACUACUACAUUGCUUCAAUUUAUUCUUGUGAUAUAGUAAUACCCAGGAAGCGUUGCUGCUCUAGUAAAGGCAUAGUCUCUGUUUUUUAUGAAGUUUAGUAACCACAGGAGCUUAGUGUCACUGCACACAAAACCAAGAAUGAAAUAAAUGUCAUCUGAGUGUUUUCUGUGUAUAUUUAAAUACCGUUGAUGGAUCUACUAGAACACUAUUUUACAAAAUAUUUUAAUACAUGUUUUAAAAUAUGCAAAACUUUAACUAACAGAAUCUGAGCAGGAAAAGAAUAUCCAGGGAAAUGCAUAGGAGGAAGUUAUAAAAAUUUCAGUGAAGUUUGCAUGUAUGUUUAACUUUCAUAUAAUAAAUAUUACGAGAUUGACUUUAGUUUCUUUGAAUCUGAAUGAAUCAGAAUAUUCCAUUCCUUUCUUUCUCUAAUCUUGUUAUAGGUUAAGUGAAAAUAAAGAAACCCUUAGUUAGUGCUUUUUAGCACAUUGAUAAUGCUCAACUGUUUUUCUCAAAUUUUAUUCCUAACAUCCAUCCACUCACCCCACCGUGGUCCUUACCUGCAUAUGCCAAUUCCUAGUACAUCAGUAGAAUAGUUCUCAACAGAUAGUUGAUUAUACCCACUGCUCUCCAUCCCAAAUACUGUACUGUUAUUCUUUUCACCUAUUGGUGAGGUUCAGAGCACUGCCUUUAAUCUCUCUGUGCUAUACCUAAGCAUGAAACAAGCAUGGAUACUAACUAAAGUUGUGAAUCUAACCCUAAAGGAAGGAGACAUGGAAGGCGAAGAGGAGCUCUCAGGAAAUCAAAAGCUAGAGGGAAGUUUGCUUUGGACAAGAGUAUUAGCAAGGGGCUUACCUCCCCUACUCUCAAGAGCACAUGUACAAAAGGGCAUUCUCUGAGACUUCUCCAUUUCCCAUUUUCUUGAGAAGCUCUGAACUGAAUGUCACAAAACUUUGUAAUGGUCUUACGAUCCUGCAGACCUGAUUUCUGCAAGUUGCCAAUCCAUUUUCUCCUUUUGAGAAGGAUGCCUCAGGAAGUUAUUUUCACUCUUAUAUUUUUCUUGGAACAAAAAGAAUUAGCUCACUGUUAAGGACAAAAUCAUUAAGUGUUCCACUCUCCUCUGUGUAAUACAUAACCUAAGGAAAGAACAAAUUCUUGCCCUCAAGGAUCCUACAAUCUCUGUUAAAACACUGGAUAUGCAUUAGCAUUUUAAUAGUGCAAUAAUUCUGUGAUGCUGUUGGAAAUGCUUUACUUAAGUGGGCACAACAGCUACAUUUUAUUCUAAUGAAAAUUCAUUGGCAAUACUGGUUAGCAUUUGCCAGUGGGAAGUGGCUAUUAACCUUGAUGUAUGUGUGUACACCCACAUAUAGUGGCCGUGUCUCUACCAGGAGUACAUUUUCUAAGGUACAAACGGGGGUGGAGGGAGUGAGUGAGGAGAGACCAUCUUCAUGCUCUAUUUACUGUAUUUGGUAUGUUUGAAACUAGAGGAGGGUGGAGAGGUGGUCCCAGACCUCAGGUAUAGGUGAAGGAUCAAACUUGUCUGAUCAGUAACAACUCUUCUUAAAUCUCUUCCUUUUGAUAUCAGAAAAAAGAAAAUGGUCCUGUUCUUUAGUUUUCAAGUUAUUGAUGGUCAUCUACUAUCUGGUAAUUGUUUUUAAUCAUCCAGAUGCAUGGCAUAAAAGCACUAACCCCCCAUAAAAAGCACUAAUAUUGUUUUUUGAUAAUCAUAAUAAUGCUAGUACUAAUAAUAAUGGCUACAAUUUAUAGGGCUGUUAAAAAGGCGCUUUCCAUAUAAGAGUCCAUUUAAUUCUCACCACAACUUUAAGGUAAAUAUUAAUAUUGCCCAAGAUUUCACAAUAUGUGCCAGUGGGUCCGAUAUUCUUGCUUAGCUUUGCUUGCUCAAACUCAGUAUUUCUGCUCUCUGCAGUUUCUCAUAAGAUUAACAGUGGUCCUAAUAUCACUAGAAUAGACAGUCUGUCAUAUACACAGAGCCACACAUUUAUGCCUAUAUAUAAGAACCUCAGGAAUAAAAGUGCCAUUAAAUCAUAAAAAGCCCUCACAGCCACAACAUCUCUAAAAACAUUUUUAUUACACACAAACAUUUGAAAAUCAACAUUACCAAUACUGUACAGAUAUAUCAAACCAGAAGUAAUAGAAGAUUCCACUUUCAGAGACGCGGAUUCUGAGACUUCAUGCAUCUACAAUUUAUUCCCGAUUUAGAAACAGUGACAGCAUGAAGGAAGGCUUGUCCAUUUUGGAAUACCAUAUCCUAUUGCUAGCCAAACCUUCCAACCCCUUGACACUACCUUCAGUUUCAAUGAUGGAGUGCAUUUUGUUUGUUGUUUCUUGCUUGUCUUUCUUAUUUUCACUUGCUUUGAUGUCUCUAAUCCUACUGAUCCACGCAGGUGACCAAACUUUCAUCCGUAAUCUGCAGCAUUCAAAUUAAAGGAAUGGUUUAUAGAUUCUAGGAUUUUCUGAGCACCUCAGAUAAAUCCUUCCUGGGCCCCUCAUGAACGGAUAAAACCAGAAGCAGAGGAUGAAGUUAAAUUGAUCCCAAUCAAUGCACCACAAAGCAUCAAAUUGCAUUCACUGCCAGUCAACAAGCAAAUAAAGAUCUGUUCCUCCCCAUUUUAAAAAUAAAUCUUGUUUUUAUUACGUUUUACUUUUUUUCCUACUGCCAGUUGAUCACAAGUUGGUUUUUUCUAGCAGGUAAAGAUUCACGGGAGUAAUUCGUCCUUCAUUAGGUGAUAAACAGCUUUUAAAUUUCCACAGAAUUCAGUUUCUUAUUGCUCCCUUCAACCGAACACUUCUGAAACGCUUAUGCUCUUGUGUUACAUUAAGAACAAAUAUAAUCCUUUUUUCAUAGCAAAAUUCUAUAUGUCUUUAAAGAAAACAGAUAGAAUGGAAAUAAGUGCACUUUUUCCCAGUCACAUUAAACAGAAAGGUUAAGCUCCCACUGACAGGAAAGAUGUAUUUGCAAGUGAUUAGUUAUAUUUCUAUCAUAGUGCUUGUCUGUGUUCUUCCUUUGAUGUUUAAACAAAGCUCUUGAACACGCUGGGUUGUAUGCUCUGAUGUUGAUUUAUAGGUAGAACUGAAUUCCAAACACUAAGCCAGUAGGUAGGCUUUAAUAAAAGGCACAGACUUUCCCCCUGCUAGUUAGUGUGUGACUAAGCGAUAUUGUUCUAGGGCCCCAAUCUGUCAAGACAGGUGUACAAUGAGGGGGUCCUUCAGGCUCAAAGACUCGAGCUCUCCACAGAGGGCCACAUUCUACUCUACAAGACUGCUGGGUUUUAAACCCUUAGAAGAAAAAUAAUCCGUGUUUAAAAGAAAAAGGAAAUUUUUUUGUUCAACAAUGACACACCUUCAUUUAGAAGGGAGGGAGAAGCUGAGGGUGAUCAGGCGGUCAGAUGGCAGAGGAGAUUCACGCCAGGCAGUGCCAGUCCUAAAACAAGCACAUCAGAAGAAUGGUAGAGCAUCUUCCACAGCCUCAUCCAUGCCUAACUGGCUGACAUCUCUCAGUGUGCUGGAGGGUGGGGAUCCAGACAGCAUCAUGGGCAGUUCAAUGAAGCUAUCUGCUUGAGCUGCAAAAGGAGGAAAAAUUAAUGUAAUACAGAUAUUUGGUUAAAAUAACAGAGGCUUCCCCAUCUGGCCAAGCCCAGGGAGAUGUGAAUUACUGCAGUCAGAAAAUGAGGGCAUGUGUAACACAGCCGUCUACCAACUUCAUAUUGUCAACACACAUGAAAUGUCUAGGACCACGCUAUCAUUUGAAGAAAGAGCAGCUUACUAUGCAGUAUUGCCAGAAAUGCUUCAUUUUCACCUGGAUAUUUUGCAAUGCAUUUUCCAAGUAAUAAAUUGCAAUCUCUACUUUACAUCCAGUUUAUUUUAGGACUUUCUAGGUGCAAGCCCAGAAAUGUAAUGCAUGUAAGCUCUUUAAGGCCAGAGAAUAGAUUUUACAGACAAACAGGCAAACAAUCUAAUAACAGUAGCAUGUAUUGCUUUUGUAAAAGGAAUAAAUGCAUAUGUUGUAUAAAAUAUGUAAUAAAUAGAAAAUUUACAAACAAUGAUACCACCAGCUAAAGUUAAUUACUUUUGCCUUCCCUUCCAAACCUUUUUAUAUCAUUUGC